UCCACAAAAACUCAUUAUGAGUAGGCUGAAAAUAAUUCAAAUUCUCUGUAUUUUAAAUAGUUUGUUAGCAUAAAUAAAUGAAAGGAUGAGAAAACCUACUUUUGACCACCCCAGCCAAUAAGCUUCAAGCUACACAGAGAAUAAAGAACCAAGGAAGAAAAAUAAUCCACACUCAUUAACAAUAAUUCCCAUAUCAGAAAAUGGCUCCACAACAACUUCCUCCUACGAACCAACGGCAUUUCCAACUCCAGUAGAUGACGUCACUUCUGGUCCCGCAAUGAUGAAUGGCACUUCUAUCCCAGACUGAUGACAUCACUUCCGUCGAUACACCAUCGAUGCAUUUGCUAUUCCCGAACAACUUGCCCAACAAGUCCACAAACAGGAGAACCAAGGAAGAAAAAUAAUCCACACUCACUAACAAUAAUUCCCAUAUCAGAAAAUGGCUCCACAACAAUAUCUUCCUACGAACCAACAGCACUUCCAACUUCUGUAGAUGAUGUCACUUCUGGUCCCGCACUGAUGACGUCACAUUCUGCCAACUCAUUUUCUUUAACCAUUUUCUCUCUGUAUAAAAACGACCAUCACAGCUCUAUUGUUUGUCUGAUGUAUGAGUUUCAAAUCGCAUUUUGGCCAA